AAUUUCUCUACCCAUUUUUAAGUUUUUCGAAUCAAGAAAAAAAAGAUUGAAAAAACGAAUUGGGUUCUAGGGCUCCUGUCGCUCCUCGAAGGCUCGAAGUCGAAGAAUAAGAUUUGGGUUUUGUGUUUGGGAUAUUAGCUUCAAUUUCAUCAGGAGCUGCGCCGAAAAGAUUACAAGUAACUAACUCAUCCAAAUUCCAAUUUAUGAAAACUGUUCAAAUCCCAUGGAGAAAACCACCUCAAUAUGUUGUGUUCAAAACGCAAGAAAACUGUUCAAAUCCCAUGGAAAAGACCAACUCAAUAUGUUGUGCUCAAAACGCAAGUGAAAAGGAUGAUAAAGGAGGGUUGUGUUUAGAGGAUCACAUUAGUGGACUUCCUGAUGUUGUACUCGUUGCGAUCUUGUCACUAUUGACAAUGAAAGAAGUGGAAAGAACAAGUCUGCUAUCAAAGAGAUGGAGAUACACGUGGACUUACAUUACUGGUUUGAACUUUGAUUCCUUACAUAUAAAACAUGGACUUAAACUCAGAGAAAAGGAAGUUGAAGUAGAAAGGCGAUUGUAUUUGAGUUGGGUUAAUCAAGUCUUGAAAUUGCAUAACGCGCCAACUAUAGAUGAAUUCAGAGUUCAAUUUGAUCUUGAUGAAACUUGUAGACUUGAUAUUGACAAUUGGAAAAGAGAGUUAGAAGGCUUGAGUUAGACUUGUCAGAAAGUAUCACAGGUAGUAGAGAGGAAGAGAAUUACAAUUUUCCUGACCCAUAUGGUAUUACAAAUCACCUAAAUUCAUUGUCUCUUGGGUUUACUAGCUGCAACUUCCUGACCAAUCUCCUGCUGACAGACGUCAAUGUAAAUGGACAAGUUCUCGAGUACUUCUUAACUAACUGUCCAUUAUUGUAGAAAAAUUCCGAUAGUCUUGUAAAUCUGAAGGUUCCUGAUCUAUCACUCAAAAAUUGAAGCGUUUGGAGAUAAUUUAUUGCUUCAAUGUGGAAAGUAUUGAGAUUUUUGCUAUGAUUUAAGAAUGUCAAGCAACCUAUUGAUUUGUUUAUCAGGGGUGAAUAUUGUGAUUAUCUAAUAUAUAAGUUUUUGGAGAUUUCAAGCUAUCUUUCUCAGCUAGAAAGCCUUGCGUUGCAGAUGACAACCUUCAUGGGGGUUAGGAAGUUUAACUGAUUCAUUUGAUCUCUUCCCCUUCAUUUUUAUUUUUUUCUUUUUACUUUUUAGCUUAGCUGUGCUGAUUUACUUUUUCUUUGGUUUAUGUAGAAUAGUCUUGAAGAUGCUAAAUUUCCUGUAUUAAAUAAACUCAAGCGACUAGAGUUGAAAAUUGGCGCAAUUGAUGGUGUAGACCUUCUUGUUUUUGCUCCCCUGAUAGAAUGUCCUUUCUUGUCUAAAUUUGUGUUCCAGCUGGAAUGGUGUGAGAGCACUCGGAAAUUAAAACAUAGCAUGUUUACAUCUCAGCCCCAUCAGUACCUUAAAGUGGUAGAAAUAAUUGGUUUUGUUGGGCUUACAAGUGAUGUUGAACUUGCAAUGUAUUUAAUUAAGAGUGCUAUCAAUCUUGAGACGAUUACUUGUGAUUCUCGCCAACCACUUCUAAUAGGAACUCCAUGGGAGUUCAUGGAGACCAAAGGGAAAAGGGUAGCAAGGAAACAUGCCAAGAAGCUUGGCACCAAACUUCCGCUGGAGCAACUUUGGUAAUAAUUUAAUUAUAUGUUUGUAUAAGCUGGAGCAGCUUUGGUAAUUCUUUAAUUAUAUGCUUGUAUAAGCUAUGGCUUGUAAGUUUAUUUGGUAUUAAAUGUUGGAUAGUUGAAAAUUUUCAUUUAUUUUAUUUUUAGUAUAAUACUAAAAUUUUAUUAAUUUACUUUUUCA